rnacentral:rRNA from 1 species
AAUACGGAGGGGGUCAGUGUUGUUCGGAAUUACUGGGCGUAAAGGGCGCGCAGGCGGCUUGGCAAGUCGAGUGUGAAAGCCCUUGGCUUAACUAAGGAAUUGCGCUCGAAACUACCUCGCUAGAGGACGGGAGAGGGAAGUGGAACUCUCGGUGUAGGGGUGAAAUCUGUAGAUAUCGAGAGGAACACCGGUGGCGAAGGCGGCUUCCUGGCCCGUACCUGACGCUGAGGCGCGAAAGCGUGGGGAGCAAACAGGA